GUGCUUGCUUUAGUACUACAUAUCCUAAUAGAAGACUAGCAUGACCCCUGCAGAAGGACAACAGGCACAUUUUAUGAAGUGUUUUAUGGUUUU
rnacentral:ncRNA from 2 species